rnacentral:lncRNA from 1 species
UGGGAUGGGCCAGUCCACGCAACAUAAUGUUCUUUUCUUUCAAGAGAUGAAUUGCUAACUGAAGCAAUUCGAUACCAAGCAACAUGUGAUUCCCAACAUAAAUAACCGGGCCCUCUGAAGGUAUUCCUGCAAGUGAUCUUACUAUAGUGCCGUUUUCUAGAGUUGAGAAAAAUGCUGGAGAAAUCGCAGCGGUUACUAAUCUGUACCAGAGGAAUUAAUAGUAACACUACCUUAUCAGUCAAAAUUUUUUUUUUUUGGACACAGAAAUUGGACAGAUAAGAUCAGAAUAGUGAUGCAGAAACUGACUUUUGUGAUUCUUCAAACUCUUUGAACUCAAACGGAGUGGGCAUAAUGUAAUCGGAAAUGUAAUCAAGUGUCUUUCCACGGCGAUAAAAAUAGGCAAACUUGAUGAUAGUCACGAGAUCUACUCCAUCCUCCUAGCAUUACACUAUUAUUGAUCAGUCGAGCUGUAAGAUUAUUUGUAAAUCAAACACAGUAUAGAAGUUCCAUUGCACCAAAGCUGGUAGAAACUAGAUAGUCAAUGAAAGCAGAAGAUGUUUUAAAUUCAUUGUUAAAGCACUGACGCAAAUAAAGUUCUUACCAAGAAGAGGAACUGUCCAUUAUUCUUAAACUUACGGACUUCACAUUUCGGCAAUGUACAAAGAAGUCUUUCAAUGUCUUCCUUGUUAAGUAACCACUGAUCGCGUCCACUGUAAUAUUCAUAACCAUAUAAAGGAACAAUUCAGCUUCCAGAGAUCGCUAAACUUCUACGUAUGACUAAUAAUGAAACAGGGAGGUUGACAAGUUUAUGAACCUCAGAAGUAUCAGUGUUUGGGCUUUGACUGUGUACAUAUGAGAAUUAAGAGAUGCUGAAGCAGACUUAAGCAGGUGAAGCUUCCAUAGAAGUGUGCCCUUAGGCAAGAUCCUAAUUAACGUCUGUAAAUAGUAUUUUCUUUCUUGAGUUCUAUCACAUAACACAUGUAAUGAAUGGAGAAAGUAAAAUAGAAACAGCAAAAUGAAGAAGACACAUGAGCAAAUUGCUUGUUAAACACUAAAAUCUGCUAUAUCACUUGUUAUCUGAAAAUAGUAUUACAGAUAGAUUAGCUGAAGUUGCAAAGAAGUCUCCAAAGAUCCCUCUGCCAAUCUGCGCAACAUCAGCUCCAUUCAGGAUAGUCUCUAAGAUUGUCGCCAACGGGUAACCUAUGUUUUUUAAAAUUAGCCCUGAUUUUGUAACAAAACUAGACACUUAAACCCGUCUUUCAGAGAGAAAAUUUCGGACCCUUUUUUUUUUGUAUUUCCAUUUAAUCAGGUGCAAGAAAUAAAAGGAGUUGAAACUUUACCAAGCUUAAACCCAAAGUUUUCCUCUAUCAAGAUGGGAACUUGGUCAGGCAAGAAUUCCAGUAGACCGGAUAAAGGUUGCAAAAUGAAGUUGUUUAAACGUGUGACUGCAUCAAACAUGAUCAAGAAUCACAAUAAAGAAUCUAGGAAAAAAAGGGAGUACGUAGUGUUAUUUUGUUUUACCUGGAUUAGCAAGAAUCAAGACAAGAUUGAUGUCAGGGUUGCUCGCAGCAACAUCUAGAGCAAGGCAAGCUCCAAUAGAUUCUCCAACGAUAUAUAUGGGCCAAUUUGGGAAACGAUGAUAUCUAACUGUCCUCUCAAUGAGCUUCACAAUGUCUGAAAUCAGAAAGAAUUGAAACACAUUGGUUGGUUACACAAGAGUAAUUAUAAAAUCAGAGAAUGUUUGACAAAUUAAGAAAUACCUCGAGAAGGGGUACGAUCACUGACUGGAAAAUGAAGGCACCAUAUGUCAAAUAUCCUAUUGUCAAAAGACAAUGAGAUGAGGAAACAAAGACUAUAAAAUUAUUCUGUUAAAAAUAUAAAUAUCAGGAAAUAAAGAAAAUUGGGUGAAGUUGGCUUACUCUCCAAGCCUUCUGUGGUGGCGAAUGAGCCCUAAUCCAGUACCAUCGAUCCCUGCAGUUUUGGACAAAAAUAUAGAUCAAGCUGUCAUUGAUUUCAUCCAUAUAUUAAAAAGACGAACCCGGUACAUAGAGAAGGAGAGGAGAUCCUGGAGCUCUUGCCCCACAUUCUAACGGAGAGAACCACCGUGGCGGACCUCCAUCUGUACUUAAAAAGUCUCCAGCUUCCACAAAAAAAUCAUUUAAACUCUUCCGCACUUCUGGCUGCGCCACCUCGCUGAAUGAAUAAGGAUUCACGGUCGCCUUCACCUUUCCUCUGAGUUUUGGACCAUACGCGACAGAGGUCGAUCGUUGGAUUGAAUUCCGGUAGAAAAAGUCGAGAUUGUAAGCUCUCGUCGAAACUGAGGAGAUGAUGGGACAAAUUCUGACAGUAAUCGCCAUUGAACAGAGACCUCCUACGUACAUUGUUUUCUAGGUAGAACAAGAUUUUUGUUCUCCAACUUCAUCUUCAAUCCACAGAACACGACAAGCUCGUGCCCGCGAGAAAACAGGGGUUUUAAUUUCAAAUCAUCUUCUUUCCUUCAUCUAUACUGAUAAAAAGGAAAUUUUUUUAAAAAAUCUACUUAAAUACUUUACAUAAUUUAAAUGAACUCAUUUAUUAUGCUUCCAUAAUCUAUAAUCUAUUAUAUAAUUACUCUAACGAUAAAUCCCUAUGAAUAUAGGAUAGAUUAUUCAAACAUGUUUUAUUUUUAUUUUUUAUUUUUUUUACAAGAAAAGGAUAAAAUGAAACUAAUGUGAUUCUUGAUCCAAGAGCCUUGGAAGAAUUGAGUCAACAUAAACCACAACAGAAAGCUGAUUUCUAGCACCUCGUGCCAGCUUAAAUACUUUACAUAAUUUAAAUGAACUCAUUUAUUAUGCUUCCAUAAUCUAUUAUAUAAUUACUCUAACGAUAAAUCCCUAUGAAUAUAGGAUAGAUUAUUCAAACAUGUUUUAUUUUUAUUUUUUAUUUUUUUUACAACAAAAGGCUAAAAUGAAACUAAUGUGAUUCUUGAUCCAAGAGCCUUGGGGGAAUUGAGUCAACAUAAACCAUAACAGAAGGCUGAUUCCUAGCACCUCGUGCCAGCUUAUCCGCAAUUGUGUUUUGUGCCCUCGGAAUAUGUUGAAUAGUAAAGGGGUGAAAAAAUUCCUUACAUCGCAUAAACUCCUCCAUGUGUGUAGUGAACGCUGGCCAUUCUGUAGGUGAAUCUUCACCAGUUGAGAGCAGUCAGUUGUAAACACCACUUCUGAGAUUUGUAGGGUCUUCAUGCACUCCAUCGCCCAUAUCAAAGCUUCACAUUCAGCAUGUAAAGGUGAUAGACUCCUGCGAAUAGCCACUGCACCCAUCAUAGUAUCAGUUGAUCCACCUGUUUUGUAAACUCAUCCUUGUCCCGUACAAAAAUCAUGUGCCCUCCAUGCCCCAUCAAUGUAACACUUAUCUAUCGCCAAAGCAUCAUGGUUCUCCACAAUAUGUGGGGGAGCCCAAUUUAUUAAAUUUUUGGUCUGAGAUUCAGCCCACAAAACACUUUUAAUUUCCGUAGUCCGGAGAAGAUUUAAAGGAUCCCUUAUCUGAUUUUUAGAAAUCUUAGCAUUCCGAUUCUUCCAAAUAUACCAUAAAAUCCAUGGAAAAUAGUUCAAAUCUAAUUCUUUUGGUGUCCGCCAAAAGAGAUAGUCCAUGUUUGUAAAAAGAGAUGGGGUCGGAAAAAUCCUUGGGCAUGAUAGGAUAUUAGAUAAAGCCCAAAUUUGAAGUGCUAAUGGACAUUCAAAAAACACAUGAUUAAUAGAUUCUUCUUCAGCCCCACACAUUUGACAUUGCAUAUCACAUUUGAUUCCCCGUGAGUGAAGAUUCCUGGACACCGGUAAACAACCAGAAAUUAUUUGCCAAACAAAAUGUUUCAAUUUUGGUGAGCAUUGUAACUUCCAAGAGUGCGCUAAUAAUGGUUUUAUCCGGUCCCAUAUCCCUAUCCUGAGUACCCUUAUCAGGAUAUAAUUUCUCUGUCUGAUAGCCUGAUUUUACCGUGUAUCUACCAUGAUCCGUAAAUGCCAGCCAUAUGAAUCUGGCUUAGGGUUACGACUAAUGGCUAAACUCCGUAUAGUACUCACAUCGUCCUGAUGGACAAAUGCGUUGAGUAAAUCCAGGUUCCAAGAAAGAUCAACUGGAUUAAUUAAAUCCUCCACCUUAAGUAAUGGAUUCAAGAAUUGAUUUGAAAAUUUUGGGAUUGCUGACCUCGGGCGAAGAGCGGGGAUCCAAGGAUCAUUGCAGACUGAAAUGGUUGAACCUGUUCCCACUCUUUUAAUUAGCCCUUUAUUAACCAGAGAUAUAGCUGAUGUGAUACUCCUCCACCCAUAUGAGGGAGAAUGUGAUCUGAUAUGAUCCAAAGGAUCUGACUUUCGGUAAUGAUCUGAUAAGAUCCAAAGGAUCUGAGUUUCGGUAAUAUUAUCUACCUUUAAAAACCCUUGCAAACAAAGAAUUUGGUUUGUCGAUUAAUCUCCACAACUGUUUUGCUAAUAAAGCCGUAUUAAAAUUCUGAAUAUCUCUAAAACCAAUGCCCCCUUCAGCUUUAUCUUUACACAAUUUGUCCCAUGAAAACCAAUGCAUGCCUUUUGUAUUGCCGCUGCCACCCCACCAAAAGUGAGCAACUGUGCUCGUAAGUUUCUUAGUAACCGUUUUUGGUAAACGGAAGCAAGACAUAACAUGAGUUGGCAUGGGGGAUGCUACUGCUUUUAUUAAGACUUCCUUCCCGCCCUUCGUGAUAAAUCGGAGAGUUUAAUUAUUGACCUUAUUAUUAACACUUUCAUUGAGAAAACCAAAAACUUGUGUUUUAGAGCCACCAAGACUCUCUGGGAUUCCCAAGUAUGUUCCCAUGCCACCUAUUGUAGUAAUACCCAAUACCUGUUGUACCUCUAAUCGUACUGAAUCUGGUACCUUAUGUCCAAACUGUAGGGACGAUUUCAAAAUAUUGAUCUACUGUCCUGACGCUCUUUCAUAAUCUUUCAAAAUCUGAAGAAUGACCUCACAUUCUUGCCUAUUGGCUCUGCAGGAAAAGAGACUAUCAUCAACAAAUAAUAAAUGUGAAAUUGCCAGAUUGCCGCGCGCAAUUUUUAGCCCAGUUAGUAACUUUUCUUCUUCCUUCUUCCGAAUAUUUGCUAUUAGUGUUUCACUGCACAAAAUAAAUAAAUAAGGCGACAAAGGAUCACCCUGUCGCAGUCCUCUAUUUGGUAUAAUAUGUCCUUUUGGCUGACCAUUAAUUAAAACUUUGUAUUGUACCGAAGAGAUGCAAGACAUUAUCCGAGAUACCCAUCGUUGUGCGAAACCCGACUUUAGUAAAAUAGCUUCGAUAAUGGGCCAUUCAACUCUAUCAUAAGCCUUACUCAUAUCCGUCUUUAUAGCCAGAAAUUUCUCUUUACAUGAGUUAUUCGUAUGUAAUCCAUGAAACAUCUCUUGCGCAAUUAGAAUAUUAUCUGAAAUCAACCUCCCAGAAACAAAAGCUGAUUGUGUUUCUGAGACCAGGUGUGGUAGUAGCCGUUGGCAAAGCACCUUUGAAAUAAUAUUAUAUCCCACAUUACAUAAACUGAUGGGUCGAAGUUCCGUCAUUCGAUUUGGCCGCACUGUCUAUUCAAACAUGUUUACACAUGAAGUGAUCAUUACCACAUAUAGUUCCAUUAAUAGUAUAAAAUUUUUAACGUUAAAACCCUUCAAUAAAGUUUGUUUUGGGUAAACCCCCAAACUAAGUAUUUAACGAAAAAACCUUCAAAAUAAUUUUAUUUAAUGAAUUAAACACUAGCAAGUCAUAAUUACAAUUACUACCGGUAAAUCUUUAGUUUGGGGGUUUCUACAUUAAGUAAACAUAGUUGAGGGGUUUUACCAUUAAAAAAAAAUCAAAAUUUUAUAACAUUACCUAAAAAUUGGAUAAUUUUUAGUAUAUUAUAUGGGUUCUUACAUUUUUAAUUUAAAAUUGUUGAUGUUAAAAACACAUCAAACUCAUAUAUUUACAAUAAAAAAUUUAAAAUCCUAAUUUUAAAAAUUUAAGUUACUAAUUUUAGAUAAUAUUAUAAAAUUUUGAUUUUUCUUUUAGAUUUUUAAAGGUAAAACCCCUCAGUUGCGGUAUAUAGUCUCAAGAAGUGAUGGAAAUAAUAUACCUCAAUUUGGUAGCGUCCUGUGUUAUCUCUUGUAUGAAAUUCUUUAUGAAAGGGAUCUUCAUUUGAUCAUUGUAAUCCAAAACCAUCUGAGAAUCGCUCAAAGAAGUUACUCAAAAGAGCCGAUUGAAAUGGGUGGACACAGAAUAGACUUGGCACUCUAAAGCUAGUUUUAAGAAUGUUGAUCAUUGUAAUCCAAUACGGAAAAGAGACUAUGCUUACUUGACAGAGAUCAUCUUCUCCAACAACGCCAAAAGGAAUGAUUUUUGCUCCAAAUUUAGAUGCGAUCCUUACAAACUCUGAGUGUUGUGGCCAAAACAACUUGUAUUCUUCACCCUGUAGAAAAUGUGAAUAACCACAGAUUUGACAAGAAGGCCGCCAAAUAAUGAAAAUACAAAGCAUUACCUUUCUGUGCAAAGCUUCACGGACACCUCCAGGAUACAAAAGCACAUGAGCUUUCGAACAAAGUAGUUUGUAGAAAUUGAGACUAGAGACAGGGACCGCCCCACCUAUCCUAACCGAGUCGAACAUCUGCAUAUCAGGGAGUUUUGAGCCUACUGUUUUGCUAAACAUCAUGGGAUGGGCCAGUCCACGCAACAUAAUGUUCUUUUCUUUCAAGAGAUGAAUUGCUAACUGAAGCAAUUCGAUACCAAGCAACAUGUGAUUCCCAACAUAAAUAACCGGGCCCUCUGAAGGUAUUCCUGCAAGUGAUCUUACUAUAGUGCCGUUUUCUAGAGUUGAGAAAAAUGCUGGAGAAAUCGCAGCGGUUACUAAUCUG